UGCUUUCUCGCUGACGAGCGGCGGAGGGGUGAGUAAUGUCUGGGGAUCUGCCUGAUGGAGGGGGAUAACUACUGGAAACGGUAGCUAAUACCGCAUAACGUCGCAAGACCAAAGUGGGGGACCUUCGGGCCUCAUGCCAUCAGAUGAACCCAGAUGGGAUUAGCUAGUAGGUGAGGUAAUGGCUCACCUAGGCGACGAUCCCUAGCUGGUCUGAGAGGAUGACCAGCCACACUGGAACUGAGACACGGUCCAGACUCCUACGGGAGGCAGCAGUGGGGAAUAUUGCACAAUGGGCGCAAGCCUGAUGCAGCCAUGCCGCGUGUAUGAAGAAGGCCUUCGGGUUGUAAAGUACUUUCAGUAGGGAGGAAGGUGUACGUGUUAAUAGCACGUGCAAUUGACGUUACCUACAGAAGAAGCACCGGCUAACUCCGUGCCAGCAGCCGCGGUAAUACGGAGGGUGCAAGCGUUAAUCGGAAUUACUGGGCGUAAAGCGCACGCAGGCGGUUUGUUAAGUUGGAUGUGAAAUCCCCGGGCUUAACCUGGGAACUGCAUCCAAGACUGGCAAGCUAGAGUCUCGUAGAGGGAGGUAGAAUUCCAGGUGUAGCGGUGAAAUGCGUAGAGAUCUGGAGGAAUACCGGUGGCGAAGGCGGCCUCCUGGACGAAGACUGACGCUCAGGUGCGAAAGCGUGGGGAGCAAACAGGAUUAGAUACCCUGGUAGUCCACGCUGUAAACGAUGUCGAUUUGGAGGUUGUGCCCUUGAGGCGUGGCUUCCGAAGCUAACGCGUUAAAUCGACCGCCUGGGGAGUACGGCCGCAAGGUUAAAACUCAAAUGAAUUGACGGGGGCCCGCACAAGCGGUGGAGCAUGUGGUUUAAUUCGAUGCAACGCGAAGAACCUUACCUACUCUUGACAUCCAGCGAAUCCUGUAGAGAUACGGGAGUGCCUUCGGGAACGCUGAGACAGGUGCUGCAUGGCUGUCGUCAGCUCGUGUUGUGAAAUGUUGGGUUAAUUCCCGCAACGAGCGCAACCCUUAUCCUUUGUUGCCAGCGGUUCGGCCGGGAACUCAAAGGAGACUGCCAGU
rnacentral:rRNA from 1 species